CACACCUGGGCAGCAGAAGUGAGAUGCUGUUCACAGCUGCAGUGUCAGUGUCGCUGCACGCAGGACCCUUGGUUAUGGCAGGGCAUGGCACAGUCUGCAGCCAGCAGCACAGAGGAGUUCUUGUGCUAAAUUAAACCACCAAGCAGACCAAUUCCUGAGCUGCUUGGCCAGCAUUUUCUCUUACCUCCCUAUUCUGAGCAGGACAGGAGCCACGCAGAGCCAGCUGGUUGUGGCUCCUCUCACCCAUCUGAAGAAGGUGAGCAAGGAUCCCUGAGGUAUCCAUUGCCAAGUCAUCGGGAGAGUGGCUUCGCCUCAGGACUGUUGCCGCACUGGGUCAAUAUUCUAGUCUUGUUGUGCUAGUGCUCCUUAGUUGACAUCCAUGAUCCUUCCCUGCUCCCACCCUGUGUAAACUCCUUACACCUGGAACACCAAGAAGUGAAAAUGCUGAGCCCUCAGAGCUGCUCCUGUUCAGGCAGGACAGGAGGGGGUGGCCAGACUGUGGGGUACUUGAGCCCCUUCCCCUCUGCUCCAAGGACAGCGCAGGGGAAAUGCCUGAAGAGCUCAGCACACAGCCAGAACAGCAGCUGGGUGUUUAGUUACUGGUUAGAAUAACUUUAGUCUUGCUCAGCUGCUCUUUGCUUCCCUCACCCAGGCAGUCUGAUACCCCUCCAUGAGCAGAGGCAGGUGCCCUGGUGCAGUGGAGUCUCUGCCUUCCCUGAGUUGGACAUGUCUGGUUGCUGCAGCUGGAUGCUCAAGAGCAGAGGAUCUAUCAACUGCAGACCAAGCAGAGGGAGAGGCAGGCAGAACUGGAGCAGAAAUGCAGCCGGACGAGCAGCUCAGCCAGGACCUGGGGGCCAGUCACCAGCUGCGGGAGGGAGCUCGGAGCAGCUUGUUCCAGAAGAUGGUGCAAUUUGGUGAUUGAUUCCUGGAGUCUGGCUGGUGCAUCUGCACUGGGGUAUAGAAGGCACAGACCCUGCCGUGAUGCCCAGAACACUCUGCCAGUGCCAGCCACACACAGCUCACAGCUCCAGAAGCAGAAGGGGAGCAUUCCAUCAAUGUGAGUGGAUAUUUUUCUCCCAUUAAAAUGUUUAAUUUAUUUUUGAAUGCACAUGAACUUUGAGGGCCCACCAUACCCUGUGUGAAGCAGUCUGACACAGCACAUGACAUUAAAAAAAGAACUCUUUUUUGUUUUGUGAUUAUUACCUGCUAAUUUAUGGGGUGCUGCUGGUUCUUAUACUGAAGGGACAAAGAGAAAUCAUACUGCAGACAAGUUCUAUUUGCCGAACUUGAUACUAUAAUUGUCUUCAGUCAUUUCUUUUCCAGUCUAAAAAGACUAUUCACCUUUUCCUCACAUGGAAAAUACUCUUUGCAUUUGAUCAUCCUUGUUGCUCUUCUCUGAAACUCUUCCAACUCUUUUUCUAGAGAGAGGCAGACAAAGCUGCAUAUGGAAAUCACAGCGCACUUCCACCAUGGAUCUCUUCAGUGGCAGAACUGUGAUCUGCUCUGCAUUAUUUUUCUGAUAAUUGUUAACAGACAGUUUGCCUUUUAGGCUGCUCCUGGGCACUAAGCAAAUAUUUCCACACCUCUAUCUCUCCAUCCCCAUCUGGUUGUAUCUAGCAGAGCUCCAGGCCCUCACUCCCGAGGAGGAACAGAGCUACAGCAGCUGGGACUGCAAUGAUUUCUUGUGAGCAAGAUGGCGCAAACAUCCCAGAUCCUGAGUAAGAUUAGGCCUACCUGGCUGUGUCAUACCUUGGAGACUGGUAUAGUCUGAUAAACAUUGAAAAAAGAAGAAAUACUGAUACAUGGUCAGCCUCACCACACUGCAGACCUGGACUCUUCCAGGCAGGUCUACCCUCAAGUAUCUGCCCACCUGAGGGGCUGAGUAACCCUGUGGGGAGAGCUCGGGAGCCAGCUUUUCACCA
rnacentral:lncRNA from 1 species